rnacentral:rRNA from 1 species
AGCAGCCGCGGUAAUUCCAGCUCCAAUAGCGUAUAUUAAAGUUGUUGCAGUUAAAAAGCUCGUAGUUGAAUUUCGGGAUCGACGGGUCGGUCGCGCCUCUGGUGUGUACUGGCCCUGUCGGUUUCUCCCUUCUGACGAACCACGAUGUCAUUAAUUUGGUGUCGUGGGAAAUCAGGACUGUUACUUUGAAAAAUUAGAGUGUUUAAAGCAGGCAUUCGCUUGAAUACAUUAGCAUGGAAUAAUGAAAUAGGACGUUUGAUCUUAUUUUGUUGGUUUUCUAAGAUCGACGUAAUGAUUAAUAGGGAUAGUUGGGGGCAUUAGUAUUCAAUUGUCAGAGGUGAAAUUCUUGGAUUUAUUGAAGACUAACUACUGCGAAAGCAUUUGCCAAGGAUGUUUUCAUUAAUCAAGAACGAAAGUUAGGGGAUCGAAGACGAUCAGAUACCGUCGUAGUCUUAACCAUAAACUAUGCCGACUAGGGAUCGGAUGAUGUUAAUUUUUAAUGUACUCAUUCGGCGCCUUA